CCUAGAUGAAGAAGGCAUGAAAGUAUGGUUUUUAUAUUGAUCUAGAAAAUAAUAAUCUUUUGUAAUAUUUCAAUCCUUUAAUUCUUUUUCAUAUGUAAAGAUAUUUACAUAUUGCUGUACACCCUGUGUGUAUUAAGUAAUAUUUAAGUGAGGCGCGCAACUAACAUGCUCUGCGCUGGACUUUAGAUUCUGCUGGUCUAUUGAACUAUUGAAAUUUUAGUUCCUCAAAUUAGCAACGUGCUAGCAAUGUCUUAAUACGCCUCCUUUUUUAGACCAGAACACCUAUGGGCGUACAUAUGAGCGGAAAUGUAUUUGCUAUUUAAACAGUAUGGUGCAAAAUGUCAAAUUGACUCUUGAAACUAGCAAACAACAAUUGCGUCGCGCCUCGCGCCACAUUGCACCGGGUGUAUGAUAGGGCCCUUAAUGUUACAUCCCAUUCUAUAUAACAAAAACACGCAACAUAGCCCAUUCCUCUUACUUUUUCUACUUCGAAGAAGAGAGAAGAGAACAUAGCAUUACUGCUUGAAUUGACUCCGAAAUGUUAAGCAUUUUAUCACAAUGGAUUUAUUAACACGCUUUGGAUUCAAUGUAAAAGGUUUGUGUACAUGACAAAUAUUUCAGAUAUGCAUCUGUAAAAAACGCAUAAGAAAAUUUCGGUGUGCAAAGACCUUUUUCCUUAUCGUGGAUUAUUUAGGCCCACACGGAAUCUGCGCGCACAGAAAUCUGCAGAUUUAUCGCCCAUGAUUAUUUACUUUUGUAAAUGUGUGUAAAUGUAAAUAUUCAAAAAUAUUUUUGCCAAAUUUGAAAAUGUUCAUAUGAUUUAUUUACAAUACAUCACUUUCUGUCUUUUAGUAGAUAUAUUAUAUGAGAGAUUUGCUUUGCUAACCAGUUAUGUGAAUCUAAUUGAAUUUGCAUUGUAAACAUUAAAUAAAAGUUAAAAAUGUAUUAAUUUUUGUUUCAUAUAUUGUGUUUUUAGUUAUGAUAAAUUAUUUCACAUAAAAUCUGCAGAUUUUUUUACAAAACUCUGCACAGAAAUAGCAAAACUCACUGCAUUACUGCAUUACUCACUGUGUAAACAGAUUCUCAGCUGUCAGACAGAGAGUCAGUCAUUUCUGCCCCACAGACUCCCUCAGGCUUACAGAUCAUUUCUUCCUUGUUUUAGGAAAGACUCUGACACAACCUUCUGUUUUCCAUCAGCCUGGCGUCCGACAGUUUUUCCAUCACUCUUGAACACUAUCGAUCCAUCCGUCUCUCUUCGGCCUCAUCCCUGCACACGUGUGUUUGCAGCAUAUAGUACGGCUGAAACCCAUUUCACCUCUGAUUCCAGACCACUUGGCUUUUCUGUCCGCUGCUUUCAACAACACGAGGCAGCUCGCAAUGUCACGCUGAGCUGGAGGCAGAAUAUUUUGUCCCGUCCAGCAGUCGAGCGGCAUCCCAUCAGCCUGAGGACAGCGCAGGCAACUGGCCAGAGAAGACAGACAGACAAAAGGUUCAUAUGUAUUCCUGCCAAAGCAGCAGCACAUUCUGUCUGGCUUUUAAGCUCCCCGAUGACUUUAUUCUAAUGGAUGUGGUUUAAAUGCCCUCUUGUGGUUUGGUGGCAUAAAUCCUCAUAAAAGCAACCAAAGACUCACCACACCUUCAAAACAAUCCAACAGGUGCGUAGACCAAAACAUCCCAAAGAAUGAAGCAGCUGAGAAAGAAAGUCUGAACACUCUCAAAUAUCAAGAUGAAGUGAUAUAGGGAAGUGUCAUUGGAUAAAAGGCAAACAUUUACAUAAUUUCCUUUUUGACCAGUCAAUGCAACAAUCUUUUUUCCAGUAAAUAGCUUGUCACUUUAUCACGCUUGUGCCUUUUGAUUAAGGUUUGGAUUUUUUGAGAGUGUGCAGACUUAUUCGCACUUGCUUCAUACAUUCUCAUAUAUACACAAUUUAGUGUUAAACUAAAUCAUUAAAAAUUAUAGUUGCUUGAUUGUUUGUUCAUUGUACCUCCUUCUGUUUGCACUCUCAGAAAUAAAGGUAUGCUGUUACUGUGGAUUUACCUUUACACAUUUGUA
rnacentral:lncRNA from 1 species